CUUCAGGUGAGAAAUGCCGCGGCUUUCGACAUCUGGAGAACGGCAGAACGUUCUUCCGUUAUGGAGGUCUGUAUGUGACGUUCACCUGUAAUUCUGGUUACAAGAUGCAUGGAUACAGAACCAACAGCUGUGUGUCUGGUCGAUGGUCCAGGGAAACUCCAGUAUGUGUUGGUAAGUUCCUUAAGACUUAAAGUUUGGCAUUUUUGUAUUUAUUGGGUUUAUGACUCUUUUGUCCUUUCUCCUCUAAUCUGUGCUGAACGUUCUGUCUUCUAGCCUCGGGCUGUCCUAGUCCCGGUAAUCUCCAACACGGUGCUACUAGUCUGAUGGAAGAUGGGUCCUGGGUUCUGUUCAGAUGUGAUGCUGGCUACAGGCUUUAUGGACACUCACUGCUCUACUGCAAGGGCCAGAAUUGGAAUGGCACCAAGCCUGUCUGCAAGGGUGAGCGACUUGAUUUAGUACUGAUAGCCAUCGACUGACUUAAUCUUGAUCCCAAUCUUGAUCUUAAUUAUGGUCCUCCCCCAUGUCUCUUCCUGUCUUAGAAUCUGACAUUAUGAGUGGUAGACAGCAUCCUGAGCCAGCAGCCUCCGUGCUUAGGAUUCAGAACCCAAACAAUGACGCUCAUGUCGCUUUGAAGAGCCGUUUGCAGAUUCACUACGACACCGUCGCUAACACAGCCUUCAAGGAGGUGUUCCUGAAGACCGUCCACACCCACCUGAAAGACCCACGCGGCUUGGAUCUCAACCCCAAAACACACAUCAUAAAGGGGAUUCUGACAGACACCAUGGUCUUCACAGGCAGAGAAGGAGCACUUCAAAAGCCCACAAGAGCUAAGACUUCCACAUCCCUGGCUACAACAGAGACCUUUACUCCCAGAUCCGUCCUGGCAGUCUCCUCAGGUGGAAAGUAUGGGCACCAGGGGAGCUCUGUAGCCCAGCCUGAGCUCGAGGAUUCAUUACCCAGGAAGGAGGUGCUGAUGGGGGCCACCCAUGCAAAGCCUGGCCAGGGCAUUACGGAAGCAGCAGAUGUGAGCGGCAUACACCCAGAGACACACACAGUUUCCCAGCAGCCCCAUCCACAGACACACACAGAGCCUAACUCAACCAGCCAAGCAAGCAUGGAACCUCUCAGCUCUAAGGUCAGUCCUACCGAGGUCAGUCCUUUUGGGGUUAGCCCUUCCCCCACUCAUACCUGGGGGUCUCUGCUGUCAACCCUCCUACACACACCCAGAGAGUCAGCAUUUCUUAGCCAAUCUGUCUCAGUGCGGAACCACAUCUUUAAUGCUAGCUCUACCAACAACACCAACACAAGCUAUGGUGACGUUAGCAACGCCGUCCAGGAGAAUCGAACGGACACAAGUGACAGUUCUCGAGACCAGGCAAACAAGGCACUAUCGUCAUUACUUGAGGCUGAUGUGACAUCACCAGAACUAGCACGGAACAGCUCAGCCUAUCACCUUUUGAAGUUUGCCCCAGUGGAGGCCCAGGCCACUGAAACCGAAAAGCACAACAGUCACGGUAGCAAGGCGAAAGAGACUGAAUCAUGGUCGGUUGGCGACGACGACGAGACUUCUCUACACACCAUAGCCUCUCCAGACACGGCUCCAUCAUUCAAGUUGGACCGUCGCCCAGUCACCGGUCACACCGAGGAGCGGCCCAGGACUGGGACGGUGAACCGCCGGCCAGUGUGCCCAUACCCACCCUUUCCUGUGCACGGAACUUUCUACUUCCGCACGGUGGAGAAGCCCGGUCUGCAGGACUACAAGCAUUACAUCCAGUACGCCUGUUAUGCUGGCUACACACUGGCCCACGGCAACCCACACAGCUACUGUCUCCAGGGAGGCCACUGGAGUGGUGUGACGCCUGUCUGCUUGGAAGUGACCCCCUGCUCCUUGAACAACGGAGGGUGUUCCCAGCUGUGCACUUUGGACCAGGACCAGGCCCGGUGUCACUGUAGACCAGGCUUCACCCUGCUAGAGGACCAGCGCACCUGUAGAGAUGUGGAUGAGUGUGUGGAGGGCCGGCGGCGCUGCCAACAGACCUGCGUCAACACCUUCGGUUCGUUCCACUGCUCUUGCCCCUACGGACAGACCCUGGCCGGGGACGGGAGGACCUGCGUGGCUCAGUGCCCAGCAGGAUACAGAAGACAUCCCUCAAACCCGGUUCCUGGACCGUCAAGCCGAGAGGAGUGUGUAGGUGGGAGGAACCGCGGUGGAUUCUCGUUCGAGUCAGAAACGAUUUCAUACAGACACUCAUAA
ensembl:lncRNA